AGUCUUAUAUUCAUUUAAUAAUGAUAUAAAAUUGCAAAUUUUAAGGAGUAAAAAAAUUAUUACUAAGGCUU
rnacentral:tRNA from 1 species